rnacentral:rRNA from 1 species
UACGUAGGGGGCAAGCGUUGUCCGGAUCUAUUGGGCGUAAAGAGCGUGUAGGCGGCCGCACAGGUCCGUUGUGAAAACUGGAGGCUUAACCUCCAGACGUCGAUGGAAACCGUGCGGCUAGAGUCCGGAAGAGGAGAAUGGAAUUCCUGGUGUAGCGGUGAAAUGCGCAGAUAUCAGGAAGAACACCCGUGGCUAAGGCGGUUCUCUAGUACGGUACUGACGCUGAGACGCGAAAGCGUGGGGAGCGAACAGG